GACGAACGCUGGCGGCGUGCUUAACACAUGCCAGUCGAACGGAAAGGCCCUGCUUUUGUGGGGUGCUCGAGUGGCGAACGGGUGAGUAACACGUGAGUAACCUGCCCUUGACUUUGGGAUAACUUCAGGAAACUGGGGCUAAUACCGGAUAGGAGCUCCUGCUGCAUGGUGGGGGUUGGAAAGUUUCGGCGGUUGGGGAUGGACUCGCGGCUUAUCAGCUUGUUGGUGGGGUAGUGGCUUACCAAGGCUUUGACGGGUAGCCGGCCUGAGAGGGUGACCGGCCACAUUGGGACUGAGAUACGGCCCAGACUCCUACGGGAGGCAGCAGUGGGGAAUAUUGCACAAUGGGCGGAAGCCUGAUGCAGCAACGCCGCGUGCGGGAUGACGGCCUUCGGGUUGUAAACCGCUUUCGCCUGUGACGAAGCGUGAGUGACGGUAAUGGGUAAAGAAGCACCGGCUAACUCCGUG
rnacentral:rRNA from 1 species